UCGAGAAUCUUCCGCAAUGGGCGAAAGCCUGACGGAGCAAUGCCGCGUGCAGGAUGAAGGCCUUCGGGUUGUAAACUGCUGUCACAGGGGAUGAAUAAAUUGACAGUACCCUGGGAGGAAGUCACGGCUAACUACGUGCCAGCAGCCGCGGUAAUACGUAGGUGACAAGCGUUGUUCGGAUUUAUUGGGCGUAAAGGGUUCGUAGGAGGUUAUGCAAGUUUGAUGUGAAAUCCCGUGGCUCAACUGCGGAACUGCAUUGAAGACUGUGUGACUAGAGUUUCAUAGAGGAGAGCGGAAUUCCUGGUGUAGCGGUGGAAUGCGUAGAUAUCAGGAAGAACACCGAAAGCGUAGGCAGCUCUCUGGGUGAAUACUGACUCUGAAGAACGAAAGCGUGGGUAGC
rnacentral:rRNA from 1 species